rnacentral:pre_miRNA from 1 species
UUGUGCUUGAUCUAACCAUGUGAAUCUGCUGCUGCCCAUGGUGGAGCCAAGCACCCUG